AUUUGUUAGCAUCAAACCAGCACCGCUGAUGAAUCAUGACAAACUGCGGAGCUUCGCCCAGCGCGGAGCCGACUCGGUCGGGUCUUUCCCCUAUCAGGUCCAGUAGGGAGUGUAUUGUACUCUCUAGCCUUUGACGGGUAACGAAGAAUCAGGGUUCGAUUUCGGAGAAGGAGCCUGAGAAACGGCUACUACAUCUAAGGAAGGCAGCAGGCGCGUAAAUUUCCCAAUGCUCGAAGAGCGAGGAAGUGACGAUGGGUAAAUUGUCUGUGGGUUCUACCUAUAGACUGUCAAUGAGUAAAACGUACAAUCGUUUGCGAGGAUCAAUUGGAGGGCAAGUCUGGUGCCAGCAGCCGCGGUAAUUCCAGCUCCAAUAGGAUAUAUCAAAGUUGUUGCAGUUGAAAAGCUCGUAGUCGAGGUUUGUCGGGUCGCGCGGGUGGAAACACUAGUGCGGCUCGAAAUUUGGGGACCAACGGGCGGGGUUGGGUUCACUCCUAGCCCCGUCCGCCCCUCCGUCACUGAGAGCAAAAUGGAGUGCUCAAAGCAGGCUUUUGGCUUUGAACAUAUCAGCUUGGAAUGACAAGGUUUGACCUAGGUCUACUUUGUUGGUUAAAGGACAUGGGUAAUGACAAAUAGGAACAGUUGCGGGGGCAUUCGUACUGGAAAGUCAGAGGUGAAAUUCUUGGAUUUUUCCACGACGAACGACUGCGAAGGCAUUUGCCAAGGAUGUUUUCAUUGAUCAAGAACGAAAGUGCGAGGAUCGAAGAUGAUUAGAUACCAUCGUAGUUCGCACCUUAAACAAUGCCGACUCAGUUUUAAGACAUAAUCGUUACAGAUUUGUCUUAGCGCUGUAGGAGAAAUCAAAGUCUUUGGGUUCCGGGGGGAGUAUGGUCGCAAGGUUGAAACUUAAAGGAAUUGACGGAAGGGCACACAAGUGGUAGCCUGCGGUUUAAUUUGACUUAACACGGGAAAACUCACCAGGUCCGAACAUGGUAAGGAUUGACAGUUUGAAAGCACUUUCAAGAUUUCAUGGGUGGUGGUGCAUGGCCGUUCUUAGUUGGUGGUGUGAAUUGUCUGGUUGAUUCCGAUAACGAUCGAGACCUUUGGCGCAAGUUACCGAGGGGUUAGUGCAAGCUAGCCCCAGGAUACCUGCGCGACUAUUCGCAUCAAGCGAAGGGAAGCCGAAGGCAAUAACAGGUCUGUGAUGCCCCUUGAUGUUCUGGGCUACACGCGCGCUACAAUGACGAAUUCAAAAAGUUUCCCCUCCCCGGAAGGGCUCGGUAAUCUCAAAUGUUCGUCGUGAUGGGGCUAGAUUAUUGUAAUUAUUAAUCUUCAACGAGGAAUCUCUAGUAUGUGCGAGUCAUCAGCUCGCGCAGAAUUCGUCCCUGCCCUUUGUACACACCGCCCGUCGCACCUAUUGAUGAAGGAUUGAAUGAAGUGUUGGGAGCUCGUGGCCCUUGGCGCAAGCCGAAGACCAUGGGUGAACUUCUCUAAGUUCCAUUUUUUAGAAAAAGGUGAAGUCGUAACAAGGUU
rnacentral:rRNA from 1 species